UGGGGAAUCUUGCGCAAUGGGCGAAAGCCUGACGCAGCAACGCCGCGUGAGGGAUGACGGCCUUCGGGUUGUAAACCUCUUCAGCGGGACGAAGCGAGAGUGACGGUACCCGCAGAAGAAGCGCCGGCCAACUACGUGCCAGCAGCCGCGGUAAUACGUAGGGCGCAAGCGUUGUCCGGAUUUAUUGGGCGUAAAGAGCUCGUAGGCGGUCUGUCGCGUCGGUUGUUAAAUCCCGGGGCUUAACUCCGGGUUGCUGCCGAUACGGGCAGACUUGAGGCAGGUAGGGGAGAGUGGAAUUCCUGGUGUAGCGGUGAAAUGCGCAGAUAUCAGGAGGAACACCGGUGGCGAAGGCGGCUCUCUGGGCCUGUCCUGACGCUGAGGAGCGAAAGCGUGGGGAGCGAACAGGAUUAGAUACC
rnacentral:rRNA from 1 species